UACGAAGGGGGCUAGCGUUGCUCGGAAUCACUGGGCGUAAAGGGCGCGUAGGCGGCCGAUUAAGUCGGGGGGUGAAAGCCUGUGGCUCAACCACAGAAUUGCCUCGAUACUGGUUGGCUUGAGACCGGAAGAGGACAGCGGAACUGCGAGUGUAGAGGUGAAAAUUCGUAGAUAUUCGCAAGAACACCAGUGGCGAAGGCGGCUGUCUGGUCCGGUUCUGACGC
rnacentral:rRNA from 1 species